CCUACGGGGGACUGCAGUGGGGAAUCUUGGGCAAUGGGCGCAAGCCUGACCCAGCAACGCCGCGUGAAGGAAGAAGGCCUUCGGGUUGUAAACUUCUUUUAUCAGGGACGAAGCAAGUGACGGUACAUGAGGAAUAAGCCACGUCUAACUACGCGCCAGCAGCCGCGGUAAUACGUAGGUGGCAAGCGUUACCCGGAUAUACUGGGUGAAAAGGGCGUGGAGGCGGGGAAGCAAGUCAGAUGGGAAAUCCGUGGGCCAAACCUGUGGACUGUAAUUGAAACUGUGUUGCUUGAGAACUGGAGAGGCAGAUGGAAUUCCUAGUGUAGGGGUGAAAUGCGUAGAUAUUAGGAAGAACACCAGUGGCGAAGGCAGGCUACUGGAACGCAACUGACGCUAAGGCACGAAAGCGUAGGGAGCAAACGGGAUUAGAUACCCGGGUAGUC
rnacentral:rRNA from 1 species